UUCCUACGGGGGGCAGCAGUGGGGAAUCUUCCGCAAUGGGCGAAAGCCUGACGGAGCAACGCCGCGUGAUCGAAUGAAGGCCUUCGGGUUGUAAAGAUCUGUUGACAGGGACGAAUAAGCAAUGCGAAUAGUUUUGUGUAUGACGGUACCUGUUUAGAAAGCUCCGGCUAACUACGUGCCAGCAGCCGCGGUAAUACGUAGGGAGCAAGCGUUAUCCGGAUUUACUGGGUGUAAAGGGCGUGUAGGCGGGCAUGCAAGCCAGAAGUGAAAUCUGGGGGCUUAACCCCCAAACUGCUUUUGGAACU
rnacentral:rRNA from 1 species